rnacentral:lncRNA from 1 species
UUUUACAUUUCCUACAUUUUUCAUUUCUGAUCUUACAUUUUUAUUUUCUUCUUCUAUAUUCUCAGACAUGAGAGGUUUAUAUCAGGCAGUCUCCACCCCUGUUCCGAAGUCAAGAGGCUGACUCGGGUUGCUACUUCUUGACAGACCGGACCCCAGAUCGCCGAAGACCAUUUGGACACACUUCUAUCAAAUCCUGGCGGUCUCCUUCUAACAGCCUGACUCAAGCUGGGAACUGUGGUAUAGGGAGCAAGGCCGGCUCAUCGACACACUCCCUUCUCCCAAGUUCAGUCUAGGGAUCACACCAAAGGAAGGAGCUCCAUGUUUCUCCUUCUUCUCUGGUCUCUGAAUACAGGUAAAAACCUUAUAACUUCAAUUAUAGUGACAAAUAAACAGAAAAUACACACACAAAAAAACCACUAACCACUUCUGAAUGACAUAUUUAUUUUUAAGAUUCAUUUUUUAAAAUUAAAUACUUAUUUUUACUAGUUUCCACAAUGUUUGAGUGAGAGAG